GACGAACGCUGGCGGCGUGCUUAACACAUGCAAGUCGAACGGAGUGGCGAACGGGUGAGUAACACGUGGGUGAUCUGCCUUGCACUUCGGGAUAAGCUUGGGAAACUGGGUCUAAUACCGGAUAGUGCAAGAUUGGCUCGCGGCUUAUCAGCUUGUUGGUGGGGUAAUGGCCUACCAAGGCGUCGACGGGUACCCGGCCUGAGAGGGUGUACGGCCACAUUGGGACUGAGAUACGGCCAAGACUCCUACGGGAGGCAGCAGUGGGGACUAUUGCAAAAUAGGCGGAAGCCUGGUGCAGCGGCGACGCGUGGGGGAUGAAGGGAUUCGGGUUGUAAAGUACUUUCGACAGGGAGGCGGGACCUGUAUAAGAAGCCCCGGCUAACUACGUGCCAGCAGCCGCGGUAAGAG
rnacentral:rRNA from 1 species